AUAGAUGUUGCUUGAGCUCAUCAUGUUGUAUUAUAGUUUUUUUUUUUUCUAUUGUCUUGUGUAGAACACCCCCGUAAAUUGAUUCUGUUGAAAGCGUGACAAUGAUCGAAAAGUCACGAGUUUGAAAUUGUGCGAAAUUUGACAGAAUGACUUGUUUAAAUGAGAUUGUCAAGACUAGUCGCUUUGUCACUAUUCUCAUAUUAUUUUGGAUACAAUCAUUUCUGUAUGUGUUGGAUACUAUCAAAGGUUCUUUUCAGAUGAUAUCUUGGGCUCAUCCAAGAUCCAAUAAGAGUUUAACACCUCAAAGCCCAUUAGGAUGCCUAUUUAUAAGUGGGCCACUACAGCGUCGGGCUUUACUUGUAUUUUUAUUUUUUAAAUCCCAAUUGGAAGUUUGGGGUCUCGACUCUCGAUCCCGCCUUAGCAAGUUAGCAGUCACACCUCGAAGAUUUUCAUUCUUCAUUGCGCUCCUCUAGGGUUUCUCUGUUUCUUCUUUCCGCUACAAUCUCGACACUCCGAGAUUCACUCACACAUUCUGUGCCAACUAUAUCUCUCGUUAAUACCUAGAAUUUGAACUUGGUAACUGCUUUAAUGGAUCGACUCUUAGUUCGUGGCAUCUCUCGCUGUCACGAGCUCUCUCCCUCCGAUCUUCUCAUCUCAAUCUCCCUCCUCCGAAAACAGGAGUUGUGCUCUAUUCGCGCUGGCAAUGGGAGGCGAUGCACGAAUCCACGAAAGAAUGGCUCGAUGAUUCUCUGGUUCGAGCAGGAUCUCCUAUUCCAUGAUCAUCCGGGCCUUAUCGCCGCCUUCUAACAUCAGGCCGCGGUUCUCUGGUUCGUAUGCUUCCUCUGUUUUGUUUUGUAUUCCUCAUUUUUUAUUCUGUGUUUUGAGGUUUUUUUGGUUUUUCUUUGUAACCAACUGUUCUCUCCCGCUAAAACAUAGAAUUUGAAUUCCGUUACACUCUCUCGUUGUCACGCACUCUCUCUCUUUCCCAAUCUAUCAUAAUAAAAGCAGGAUCCGGAAGAUCGUCGGAGAUCCUGCUUUUUUCAUUCAAUAACAGUAGGAUCUCCGACGAUUAUCCGGAUCUUGUUGCACCUCCGAGAGAAUAAGGCCGUGGUUCCCGGAUCGCGAAUUCUUUCUCGUACUUCUGCUUUGUCUUAUACUCCUCUCGGCGUCUUCCAUCACCUGAUUCUUUCUGGCAGGUUCUGACCAUCCGGGCCCUCUAGCUGCCUCGUGGCCGCCUGGAAGCAGGCCGUGGUUCCUCUCCAUGUCUUCCAUCGCCUCAUUCUUUCUGUUUCUUCUGCCACCACAACACCCCCUUAUUCAAGCCAAUAUAUUACACAUUGGUUACUAUGGAUCUCUGUAAGGUCUCACUUGCGAAGGAGAUUUCUCAUGAGCUCAACUCAGAAUGUUAAACAUCAUUUUGAUUUGGAAAGCUGUUUCCAAGAUCUAAACCUCCCAGAUUGAUCUUGUUUGCAUAGUUUGAUCCAUGUAACUUGAUUGAACCUCGAGGAUUUUGUUCCCUUGUCCUGUAUAUUUGCGAUUAUCUCCUUUUUAUUAUCUUAUAUUUUCAGUCUCUAGGUCCAAAAAUAUUGAAAAAGAAGAGGAUGCAUCUGUUCCAGAACUCGUUAGAGGACAAGGAGGUUCUUCUUGUUUGAGCACUGAAUGAAAUGGAGGUAAUUAAUUCUAAAAAUGGUUGCUGAUAUUUUUUGCAUGUAGUUUGUCAUCUGUGUACCAUCUAUUUAGUACUAAGAAAAAUGUUUUUUUGCCCUUUCAUGUUGGGUUAUGCAUAAAUGCUGUUUUAUAUCAUAAUUAUAGCCAUUGCCAUUUUGCAUGCUUGUUUUUUGUACACCUGUGCUCAUUAGUCUUGGAAAUAAAAUACCAUAAUGAUUAUUCCCGCGCCCUAAGGGCACUGGAUUAUGCACAAGAAGUAUUUGGUGAUCUGGAAGUAAGCUCUCACUUCUUAAUUUUAUCCUUUUAAGAAAUUAGGAAUUCAAGGACAAUUGGAUUUUUUCACUGUUUCUUGUUGGUGACUGAUUGUUUAUAUAUAUUUUGCCUGAACGAGUUCUGGUUGGUUUGUUAAUCGCUGGUAGGGUAUGAAACUCUUGGCCUUUUUUUUCAUUGUUUCUUGUUGGUGAGUGACUGUUCAUAUAUAUUGCUUGAAUGACUUAUGGUUUGAUGGUUUAAUUACUGGUAGGGUGUGAAAGUGGACUUUUUUUUCCUUGUUUCUUCUUGUUGAGUGACUGUUCAUAUAUAUAUAUUGCCUGAAUGAAUUAUGGUUUGGUGGUUUAAUUACUGGUAGGACUUUUUUUUUCCAUUGUUUCUUGUUGGUGAGUGACUGUUCGCAUAUAUUGCCUGAAUAAGUUCUGGUUCGUUGGUUUAAUUACUGGUUGAGCCUGAAAGAUCCAAUCUCAGCCUCUCUUGUCCAAACUUGGUUUGAUUAAAGAGGAACGUAUAUUAGUCUGGGCAUUAGAUGCUGGAAAUGAAUUUCUGCUAUUUAUGUUUUUUUUUUUUUUGUUUCUUAAUAUUUGCGAUAUUUAGGAUAAACUUCCUUCAAAGAGUGGUAUUUUCUUCUUCUUUUGGGUGAGUUUUGAACUUUUAGUCUUGGUACAAAAAAACUGGCCAUCCUUGCUCUCAACUCAUUUGGUCUUUUUUUUUUAAAAGAAAAUUACAUUUGAGUUGAAAUUAGGUACAACAGCUUUAGAUCCAGCCCUAAUUUUAAGCCCGGAUAUAUUUUUUAGAAUGCUUUAAACUUGUUUUGGAAGUACAGCCCAUUAAUUAAAAUUAGUCUUAAAACAUUUGAGAAGUGAAAAAAAAAGAAGCCUUAAUGAUGUUCAACUAGUGAUUCACGCCGGCCCAAACUAAAUAAAGGUGCGUUAUUUGGGCUUUCUACAAAUUUAUUUAGGGCUCUGUCUAAAUGGGCCCAAAAGAAUAAGACGGCCAAAAGAAGAUGGCGGUCCUCACUAGACAAGGCCCAAUAUUGCCGGCUCAAAUGAAUAAGGCCCGAUAAAUAAAGUUGGCUAAACAAGAAUGUGGCCUUUAUAAAUUGGGCCCAAUAAGACAGGCCCAAGUGAACUUAGCCCAAUAAAACAUAACCAAAUGAAGUGGGCCCAACUAGACCGGCCCAAACGUACUAGGCCCAAUAUGACCGGCCCAAAUGAAGUGGCCCAAUACGACCGGCCCAGAUGAACUGGGCCCAACACUAGCUGCCCAAAUGAAGUGGGCCCAAUAUUUUCGGCCCAACUGAGUUGGGUCCAGUAAAAUAAGACCGGCACAAAUGAACUGGGCCCAAUAAAUAAACAAGGCCCAAUUAAGACCGGCCCUAAUGAUGCAACAUCGUAGGACCACUCAAUUAUUGUUAAAGCUGCCCAAUAAGACCGGCCCAAAUGAUCGAACAUCGAAGGACCAAUCAAUUUUUGUUGACGUUCACGUAGUCUGAUCACUGAUGUUACAUAAUCGUGGCCCAAGUAUUAACCCAAUUAAUAGGCCUUUCCACUUAAUUAGGAGUUAUGACAUUAAUUAAGCUGGGCUUAAAGCCCUUCUACUUGGGCUCUAGGUUCCUUUAGCCAAUCCAAUUAGUCUACGUUCAUCAAGCCGAACAAAUCUAAUUGGGCUCUAUGUUUCUUGAGCCCAAUUUAGUCGGGCACCAAUCACCAUGCUUUCGCUCCAAGACAGUAGCUCAAGUCACUUUUAGAUCAUACGGCCAGACCCUAUUUUGGAAGCUAAAGCCCUAGUCAGUGGGGCCCAACAUUCAAUCUACAGUAAUAAAAUGCCAACCAACAAAAAAAUCCAAACAGAAAACUGGUAUGCAGACGCCAUCCAAAAUAACCCCAAGGACGAAAGAAAAGAACUCUCAAAUUGAAAGGAAGAAAGUCAUGGGGAAGUGGACCAAACAAUCCACCCGAAAAACAAAUGGCCAGAAAUAAUGGUUUGCGAAAAUCCAUGAAACCCCUAAUGUUAUGCCAGUAAGAAACACGUCUCAUGCUAC